AUCUUCACCGUCACGCCGCGCCCGGUCUCAAAUCCUGCCUCGGCCAGCCAGUCGCCUUUAAGGUGCAGGCUGAGGCUGCGUGUAUAUUCGGUGUGGACUUUGGUUUUACGUUUGAUG
rnacentral:sRNA from 1 species